AUUUUACAAGUGUCUGCUUCAUUCAGUCAAGCAAGAGUUAACUGCUGAAGUCACAUGCCUGGAAUCACAGGAGCUUCUGGAAAAUCUCUCUGCUGCUUCUUUCAGCAAAAAAAGGACAGGCAGACACACAGGCACAGAUAGACUGCACAGACACCCAGCCUGAGAACUUGCAUGGAUGGAGUUUGCUGUUCCUACAUUUAGUUUAAAUUCAUUUGUUAUCUGCUUGCUGUUUGGAUUGGUUGAAAGAAUGGAUUCUGCUGAGCAAUAGAAGAUUGCUUCAUCUAGAAGGACAUGAUCUGACAUAUGGGUGACAUGCCUGUUUAUGGUAUAAAGCUAAUAAAGAUUUUAAUAAU